CAAGGACCCUUUUAUAAAUAGAAUGAACAAUGUAACAGUAGACCACGUGUCAGCUCACGGAGUUGAAAGAAUCCCCAUUUCCCCAGACCUCUGCGAGCUUCACUGUGACUCGUGCUUCUUCUCCAGCGGGCCAAGCUCGGUAGAUUAAUUGGACUUCGAAUUUUCCGGCGAAUUCCUUACCCCGGCGGUUCCUCUCCGUCGAUUCUGUAAGAUCACCCCGAUUCUCAACCUAUAGCUGCAUAAUUUCAGUAAUUAGGGCAUUGAAUUGGUCGAAAAGGUAUCUGACAUGUUUCUCUCAUAUGGCUCUAUGAAUUCGGUUGGUUUUGGACGAAUUUGAAGAACUGUUGGGUAAACUUUUGCAUUUGUUGAAUUUUUUGUGUUGAGGAAGAGAACGGAAAAGUCUGUAUAUUCGCUACCAUAUAAAAAGAAAUGAUUACGACACGUUGUCUCGUUUACUCGAUGGACUGUCAUUAAGCAAUUCAUGCUUGCACGUCAAGUUUCAUGACGUUGUUGAUGUAAUUUAGCAUUGUUGAGCCCAUGAGCGUCCAUUGUUUUGAUAACCGACCAAUUGAAAUGUGUACUUGUAGUUGCCUUAUUAGAGUAUUAGAAUUUCGUAAGGUUAUAUAAGGAAGGUGAUUUAUUUAGCAGUUAGUGCUGAAAACAAUGCGAUUCUUCUUGAAUGAAGAUAAAGUUAAUGGAAAUUUUGCAAAUCAAUUUAGUAUUAUGAAUGCCUACUAUUUACAAUUACAUGGAUUGAAGUUAGAUUAUCUUGAAGGUCAGCCACGGAGUUUGAUAUUGGUAUUUUCAUAUUUAUGGGGGCCAAGUAUUAAGCGGUGAAUUUAUAGGAUGAAGGCUGGAGCAGGCUGAAAUAUGGAGGAAGUUUGUCUUAAUAGCGAGGCUAUCUUUGAUGAAUGUGACGAAUAUGAGGUGGAUGGUGAUGGUUCCUUUGUGGACAACGAUGAUGAAUCUAGGGAAGCACAGUCAAAGAAGAAUCCUCCACUGCCAACUGUGGGUUUAGAAUUUAAUUCUUUCGAUGAGGCAUACAACUUUUAUAAUGUUUAUGCUAAGGAACUGGGCUUUGUCAUCAGAGUCAGUAAUUUAUGGUUUCGAUCUAAGUGAAAAGAACGAUUUGGAGCUAAACUAAGCUGUAGCAGUGCAGGGUUCUAGAAAAAGAGUGAAGCCAACAAUCGAAGGCCGGAAACUAGAACUGGUUGUCCUGCAAUGAUAAUUAUCAGGCUGGUUGACAAAAGGUGGAGGAUAGUCGAAGUUGAGCUUGAACACGACCAUCCAGUGAGUCCACAAAUCACUCGAUUUUACAUCUUACAUAAAAAGAUGAUUCUUGCAGCAUAGAAAGCUCAGCCACAACUACAUCCUGUAACUGAAGUUCAUACCAUCAAGCUCUAUAGAAAAACUAUUCCUAACAGUUGUAAUGGAAGCUCAAAUGUUGACCAAAGGGAGGGUAUCAGUUCUGUUGAUCACUUGAAACACCUUGAACUUAAAGAUGGGGAUGGUCAUGCAUUGUAUAAUUAUUUCUUCCGCAUGAAACUGACAAAUCUCAAUUUUUUUACUUGAUGGAUCUUGACAAUGAUGGGCACUUAAGAAAUGUGUUUUGGUCCGAUUCCGGGUCCAUGUCUGCAUAUUGUUACUUUUGUGAUACUAUCACUAUAUACACAACUUGCAUAACAAACAGAUAUGAAAUUCCUCUGAUUUCAUUUGUUGGUGUGAACCACCAUCGACAAUCAGUGUUGCUAGGAUGUGGCUUUGUGGGAUUUGAAUCAGUGGAAUAUUUUGUUUGGAUAUUGAAGGCGUGGCAUAGAUGCAUGCUGGGACGCACUCCACAGGUCAUUAUUACCGACCAAAAUAAAACGUUGCUAGCUGCAAUCUCUGAAGUUUUCCCUAAAGCUUGUCACUGUUACUCUAUGUGGUAUAUCAUGCAAAGAAUACCAGAAAAGUUGGGUGGACUGGAAGGAUAUGAAAUGAUAAGAAGCCAAUUGAACGAAACCAUUUUUAGCUCAUUGAAGAGAGCUGAAUUUGAAACUUCAUGGACUAAUAUGGUCAAGCACAAUGGGCUUGGAGAUAACAAAUGGCUCCAGUCACUAUAUGAAGAUCGAACAUUAGGGCUCCCAUAUACUUAAAAGACAUAUUUUUUGCAGGACUGGUCCCUAUCCAUGCAAAUGAGAGCUUCAAAACGUUUUUUGACGGAUAUGUACAUAAACACACAUCUUUUAAGGAAUUUGUUGAUAAGGAUGAUCUUGCCCUCCAUAGGAAAUACCAUAAGGAAGCAGUAGUAGAUCUGGAGUCAAGAAAUUUAAACGUUGAGUUGAAGGCGAGAUGUAAUUUUGAGUUGCAGCUCUCCAAGGUGUAUACAAAAGAAAUAUUUAGCAAGUUCCAAUCUGAGGUAGAAGGAAUGGACUCUUGCUUCAGCACAAGGCAGGUCAAUGUAAAUGGGCCUAUAGUAACUUAGUGUCAAAGAAAGGAUUGAAGUUGAGGGAAACGAGAAACAGGUAAGAUAUUUUGAGGUAUUGUAUGAGAUGACCGAAGUGGACAUUCGGUGCAUUGGCAGUUUAUUCAACUACAAAGGUUACCUUUGCAGGCAUGCGUUAAGUGUUCUUAAUUAUAAUAGCGUGGAAGAAAUCCCAGCUCGCUACAUUCUGCCACAUUGGUGUAAAGAUUUUAAAUGCAGGCCUACAAGUGGGGCAUUGAUCAAAGAUAUCAAAGCUCAACUACUUUCUUCUUCUUCUUCAGGAAAACCCUGUUUCUCUACCUCCAUACAUAAUGAUUCAACCCUUUGCAUUGAAAAGCUCCCUUGCCAAACUGGUCAAAGGGAGGUACCUAACCAAUUCAUCAUGGUUAUGGAAGAAGUUUGUCUCAUUUUAUUGUUUCAAAAAGUGAGAUAUUCUGAAUUAUUGUUGGAAUGAGUUUGAAGGGUAACAGGUGUUUGGUUAGGUAAAAACUGGCCUUAUGCGUUCCGACAAACUAUUGGAAGGGAACGAAAAGCAGGCAUGUAAUCUGCAUCAUGAGAGGGAGCUAAUCCAAUCAGAACUUCGCCUCCAUGUUAUCAAGUAAGUAUGAAAUGAGAAAGUAAGAAACACUGAAUAAUCAUUUCUCAAUAUAUGCAAUUGCACUGCAGCAUUUUGGUAUAUCAACUUGCACGAUGUCUAGUUUGUCUAUUAUUCUUACUUUUUCUCGUUUUAGCAGCCUACCUAUGGAUGAUAGAGGAGCUUUAUGUGCAUAAUUUUCUGUGGAAGUUUAAGCAAGAGCUCUAUUAUCAUACAGUAGUCUCUCCUAGGCUAAGCUAGUAGGGUUUUUGUACAAAUUAUCCAAAUUUUGGAGGUAAAGGAAAUUUGUCCCACUUUUUUAAAUUGAGGUUUUUUUUGACUCCUUUGCUGACGUCAAAUUCACGAAGAAAAACUCACCUUGCUCUCAUUCUCGAGCUCCCGUAGGGUAUGACCCCCCUUUUUUUCCUUUUUUUGAAAAUCUUGUGAGCUCAUAUUGCAUCGACUCUGUUCAGUACCAUUGAAGGCGAGACCAUAAAUUCUUACAAUUUGACCCUAGAAUUAUCAAC